UCGGCGCACGAUAGCAAAGAGUGUCGUUGUGCCCGGAAAUGGCUCGCCGCCGGAAAACUGCACCGGCUGAUACUGUCCAGACUGUCACCCUUGACCAUGGUGCUGCUAAAGCACGAGAACCGCUGACUUUUGGGAGCUUCCUGCCCCAGAAAUUUCAAGCCGUUGAGGAGAUUCAUGAAGCUGAAUGUGAUGAAGAUGCAAUGCAGAGUCCGAUAAACAAACCAGA
rnacentral:lncRNA from 1 species